rnacentral:ncRNA from 1 species
GUUGAUAGAGGAGCAAUAAUUAUAAGUAGCGGUAUGUGCUUUUAAAAGCAAAAUAGGGUUAAUUUAUUACCGCAAAAGGGAUUGUUGCCGAAACAAAAAAUAAAACCCGUUAUUUUUUGUUGGACUGCAGCAGAAUAUGCUGUAGGCUGUCACUUUUGUGGAGCGCUAUCUGAU